ensembl:miRNA
GCUCCAGUAGCGCAAUCGGUCAGAGCGCGGUACUUAUACAGCAGUGAACGGCAGAGUCAUGUCGAGGUUGUGAGUUCAAGCCUCACCUGGAGCAGUGUCUUC